UCUCUGCUCUCCUUUGCCUGUUGCCUUGUUACUGACUUGUUCGAAAUAGGAACAACAACAACAAGAUGGCAGAAAGAUGGGCCUCCCUUUUGGUAUUCCAGAAUGUACUGUGAAAUGAGUGAAGCUAUCGUAAGUGUGGGUUAUGCGGAUCCUAUGCUAGCAGUCUACUUAAGGCCCAGAAGAAUGAGCUUCGUGAUGAGAAGCAGAGGCUCAACGCGGACAAAGAGAAGUUGGAGCCCAGUUGCUUAGAAUUGAACACACCCAGGGUUUGCUUCAUGUUACUUGUAACUUUGUAAGGCAA